CACGGGAGCAAUCCUGGUGGCGAGUGGCGAACGGGUGAGUAAUACAUCGGAACGUGUCCUGUAGUGGGGGAUAGCCCGGCGAAAGCCGGAUUAAUACCGCAUACGCCCUACGGAGGAAAGGGGGGGAUCGCAAGACCUCCCGCUACAGGGGCGGCCGAUGGCAGAUUAGCUAGUUGGUGGGGUAAAGGCCUACCAAGGCGACGAUCUGUAGCUGGUCUGAGAGGACGACCAGCCACACUGGGACUGAGACACGGCCCAGACUCCUACGGGAGGCAGCAGUGGGGAAUUUUGGACAAUGGGCGAAAGCCUGAUCCAGCAAUGCCGCGUGUGUGAAGAAGGCCUUCGGGUUGUAAAGCACUUUUGUCCGGAAAGAAAACGUCGUGGUUAAUACCCGUGGCGGAUGACGGUACCGGAAGAAUAAGCACCGGCUAACUACGUGCCAGCAGCCGCGGUAAUACGUAUGGUGCAAGCGUUAAUCGGAAUUACUGGGCGUAAAGCGUGCGCAGGCGGUUCGCUAAGACAGAUGUGAAAUCCCCGGGCUUAACCUGGGAACUGCAUUUGUGACUGGCGGGCUAGAGUAUGGCAGAGGGGGGUAGAAUUCCACGUGUAGCAGUGAAAUGCGUAGAGAUGUGGAGGAAUACCGAUGGCGAAGGCAGCCCCCUGGGCCAAUACUGACGCUCAUGCACGAAAGCGUGGGGAGCAAACAGGAUUAGAUACCCU
rnacentral:rRNA from 1 species